rnacentral:tRNA from 1 species
GGGGAUUUAGCUCAGUGGCAUAAGCGCCUGCCUGGUGAGCAGGAGGUUGUGAGUUAAUCCCUG